AUGGCCCGACGCCGGAGCAGCGGCGGCAUCUCGUCCGCGCUGAGCCUGGGGCUCGCCGUGAUGGCCGUCACAUGGGCGACGUCCACGGCGCAGCAGCAGCAGCAGCAGCAACCGCCGGCCGUGCCAAGCGUGAGCGUGCCGAGCUGCCCGCCGGUGCAGGCCUCGCUGUCGCCGUGCGUGAGCUACUUCAUCGGCAACUCCUCGUCGCCGUCCGACACGUGCUGCGUCCAGAUGCGGGCCCUGUUCCAGUCGCAGGCGCCCUGCCUCUGCGCCGCCGUGUCCGCCGUGCCGUCCCAGCUCGGGUCCGUGGUCGGCGGCCUGCUCCCCACCGCCUGCAACCUGCCCCCCAACGCCUGCUCCGCUGUGACAGGGACCUCGGGCUCUGCUCCGGCCGGUGGCGCAGCGGCGCCGUCGUCGUCAGGGACACCUACUGAUGCUGCUGCCGCCGCGCCGGUGACCGGUCCGGCUGAUGCGAACCCGGCUGGUACGCCUUCCGGUGGUGGGGUGAAGUCGGUUCCGGGGACGGUUGAUUCGGCUGCCGUUGAGUGCAAGGGUACCUCCGCUGCCGUCGUCGUCCUGGCCAUGGCUGCCUCGUUCCUAGUAGCUGCUUCUGUUUUCUGA
rnacentral:rRNA from 1 species